rnacentral:rRNA from 1 species
AUUGAACGCUGGCGGCAGGCCUAACACAUGCAAGUCGAGCGGUAGCACAGAGAGCUUGCUCUCGGGUGACGAGCGGCGGACGGGUGAGUAAUGUCUGGGAAACUGCCUGAUGGAGGGGGAUAACUACUGGAAACGGUAGCUAAUACCGCAUAACGUCGCAAGACCAAAGAGGGGGACCUUCGGGCCUCGUGCCAUCAGAUGUGCCCAGAUGGGAUUAGCUAGUAGGUGGUGUAACGGCUCACCUAGGCGACGAUCCCUAGCUGGUCUGAGAGGAUGACCAGCCACACUGGAACUGAGACACGGUCCAGACUCCUACGGGAGGCAGCAGUGGGGAAUAUUGCACAAUGGGCGCAAGCCUGAUGCAGCCAUGCCGCGUGUAUGAAGAAGGCCUUCGGGUUGUAAAGUACUUUCAGCGGGGAGGAAGGCGAUAAGGUUAAUAACCUUGUCGAUUGACGUUACCCGCAGAAGAAGCACCGGCUAACUCCGUGCCAGCCGCCGCGGUAA